rnacentral:rRNA from 1 species
CGAGCUUUUCAUAUCACGUUCAAAGUACCAGUUCUCGUCCGAAGUAAAGCAACGUUGAGCACGAUUAGUACUUGGAUGAGUGACCGCUUGGGAAUGUCCUCCUUGAUCUGUA